rnacentral:rRNA from 1 species
UACGUAGGGGGCGAGCGUUACCCGGAUUCACUGGGCGUAAAGCGGGUGUAGGCGGCUCGGUAAGUCGGGUGUGAAAUCCCACAGCUCAACUGUGGAAUUGCGCCCGAAACUGCUGAGCUUGGGGCCGGUAGAGGGAGAGGGAACUGCCGGUGUAGGGGUGAAAUCCGUAGAUAUCGGCAGGAACGCCGGUGGGGAAGCCGGUCUCCUGGGCCGCGCCCGACGCUGAGACCCGAAAGCUAGGGGAGCAAACAGG